ACCGACUCUCUUUUCGGACUCAGUCCGCCUGCACCCGGGUGAAAUAAACAGCCAUGUUGCUCACACAAAGCCUGUUUGGUGGUCUCUUCACACGGACGUGCAUGAAAUUUGGUGCCGUGACUCGGAUCGGGGGACCUCCCUUGGGAGAUCAAUCCCCUGUCCUCCUGUUCUUUGCUCCACGAGAAAGAUCCACCUACGACCUCAGGUCCUCAGACUGACCAGCCCAAGGAACAUCUCACCAAUUUUAAAUCAGGUAAGCGGCCUCUUCUUACUCUCUUCUCCAACCUCUCUCACUGUCCCUCAACCACUUUCUUCUUUCCACUCUUCAAUCUCUCCCUUCUCUUAAUUUCAAUUCCUUUCAUUUUCUGGGAGAGACAAAGGAGACAUGUUUUUAUCCGUGGACCCAAAACUCCGGCGCUGGUCACGGACUGGGAAGGCAGCCUUCCCCUGGUGUUUUAUCAUUGCAGGGACGCCUCUCUGAUUAUUCACCCACGUUUCAAAGGUGUCAGACCACGCAGGGACGCCUGCCUUGGUCCUUCACCCUUAGCAGCAAGUCCCACUUUUCUGGGAAAGGGGCAAGUACCUCAACCCCUUCUCUCCUUGUCUCUACCCCUUCUCUGCUUUUCUGGGGGAGGGGCAAGUACCCCUCAACCCCUUCUCCUUCACUCUUAGCGGCAAGUCCCGCUUUUCUAGAGGAUGGGCAAGUACCCCAACCUCGUAUCUCUGUGCCCCAAUCCCUUAUUUCCGCGCCCCAACCUCUUAUAUCUCUGUGCCCCAAUCCCUUAUUUCCAUGCUCGACCCCUUAUUUCCGUGCCCCUACCCCUUAUUUCUGUGCUUCAUCCCUUAUUUCCAUGCCCCGACCUCUUAUCUCUGCGCCCCAACCUCUUUUCCCACUUUUCUGGAAGGUAAGAACCCCCGAACCCCUUCCCUCAGUUUCUCUACUCUCUCUUUUCUCUAGGCUUGCUUCCUUCACUAUAGGCAACCUUCCACCCUUCAUUCCUCCUUCUACUCCCUUGGCCUGUGUUCUCAAAAACUUAAAACCUCUUCAACUCACACCUGACCUAAAACCUAAAUGCCUUAUUUUCUUCUGCAAUGCUGCUUGACCCCAAUACAAACUCGACAGUAGUUCCAAAUAGCCAGAAAAUGGCACUUUGAAUUUUUCCAUCCUGCAAGAUCUAAGUAAUUCUUGUCGUAAAAUAGCCAAAUGGUCUGAGGUGCCUGACGUCCAGGCAUUCUUUUACACAUCAGUCCCUUCCUAGUCUCUGUGCCCAGUGCCACUCAUCCCAAAUCUUCCUUCUUUCCCUCCCGCCUGUCCCCUCAGUACCAACCCCAAGCAUCGCUGAGUCUUUCUAAUCUUCCUUUUCUACAGAUCCAUCUGACCUCUCCCUUCCUCCCCAGGCUGCUCCUCGCCAGGCCGAGCUAGGUCCCAAUUCUUCCUCAGCCUCUGCUCCUCCACCCUAUAAUCUUUUCAUCACCUCCCCUCCUCACACCUGGUCUGGCUUACAGUUUCGUUCCAUGACUAGCCCUCCCCCUCCUGCCCAGCAAUUUACUCUUAAAAAGGUGGCUGGAGCCAAAGGCAUAGUCAACUUUAAUGCUCCUUUUUCUUUAUCCCAAAUCAGAUAGCGUUUAGGCUCUUUUUCAUCAAAUAUAAAAAUCCAGCCCAGUUCAUGACUUGUUUGGCAGCAACCCUGAGACACUUUACAGCCCUAGACCCUAAAAGGUCAAAAGGCCGUCUUAUUCUCAAAAUACAUUUUAUUACCCAAUCUGCUCCAGACAUUAAAUAAAACUCCAAAAAUUAAAUUCCGGCCCUCAAACCCCACAACAGGAUUUAAUUAACCUCGCCUUCAAGGUGUACAAUAAUAGAAAAAUGUUGCAAUUCCUUGCCUCCACUGUGAGACAAACCCCAGCCACAUCUCCAGCACACAGGAACUUCCAAAUGCCUGAACCGCAGCGGCCAGGCUCCUCCAGAACCUCCUCCCACAGGAGCUUGCUACAUGUGCCAGAAAUCUGGCCACUGGGCCAAGGAAUGCCUGCAGCCCGGGAUUCCUCCUAAGCCGUGUCCCAUCUGUGUGGGACCCCACUGAAAAUCGGACUGUUCAACUCACCUGGCAGCCACUCCCAGAGCCCCUGGAACUCUGGCCCAAGGCUGACUGACUCCUUCCCAGAUCUUCUCGGCUUAGCGGCUGAAGACUGACACUGCUUGAUCGCCUCGGAAGCCCCCUAGACCAUCACAGACGCCGAGCUUCCGGUAACUCUCACAGUGGAAGGUAAGCCCGUCCCCUUCUUAAUCAAUACGGAGGCUACCCACUCCACAUUACCUUCUUUUCAAGGGCCUGUUUCCCUUGCCUCCAUAACUGUUGUGGGUAUUGACGGCCAGGCUUCUAAACCUCUUAAAACUCCCCAACUCUGGUGCCAACUUAGACAAUACUCUUUUAAGCACUCCUUUUUAGUUAUCCCCACCUGCCCAGUUCCCUUAUUAGGCUGAGACACUUUAACUAAAUUGUCUGCUUCCCUGACUAUUCCUGGACUACAGCUAUAUCUCAUUGCCGCCCUUCUUCCCAAUCCAAAGCCUCCUUUGCGUCCUCCUCUUGUAUCCCCCCACCUUAACCCACAAGUAUAAGAUACCUCUACUCCCUCCUUGGCGACCAAUCAUGCACCCGUUACCAUCUCAUUAAAACCUAAUCACCCUUACCCCACUCAACGCCAAUAUCCCAUCCCGCAGCAUGCUUUAAAAAGAUUAAAGCCUGUUAUCACUUGCCUGCUACAGCAUGGCCUUUUAAAGCCUAUAAACUCUCCUUACAAUUCCCCCAUUUUACCUGUCCUAAAACCGGACGAGCCUUACAAGUUAGUUCAGGAUCUGCGCCUUAUCAACCAAAUUGUUUUGCCUAUCCACCCCGUAGUGCCAAACCCAUAUACUCUCCUAUCCUCAGUACCUGCCUCUAUAACCUAUUAUUCUGUUCUAGAUCUCAAACAUGCUUUCUUUACUAUUCCUUUGCACCCUUAAUCCCAGCCUCUCUUCACUUUCACUUGGACUGACCCUGACACCCAUCAAGCUCAGCAAGUUACCUAGGCUGUACUGCCGCAAAGCUUCACAGACAGCCCCUAUUACUUCAAUCAAGCCCAAAUUUCUUCCUCAUCUGUUACCUAUCUCAGCAUAAUUCUCAUAAAAACACACGUGCUCUCCCUGCCAAUCAUGUCCGACUAAUCUCUCAAACCCAAGCACCUUCUACAAAACAACAACUCCUUUCCUUCCUAGGCAUGGUUAGCGUGGUCAGAAUUCUUACACAAGAGCCAGGACCGCACCCUGUAGCCUUUCUGUCCAAACAACUUGACCUUACUGUUUUAGCCUAGCCCUCAUGUCUGCGUGCAGCGGCUCCCGCUGCUUUAAUACUUUUAGAGGCCCUCAAAAUCACAAACUAUGCUCAACUCACUCUCUACAGUUCUCAUAACUUCCAAAAUCUAUUUUCUUCCUCAUACCUGACGCACAUACUUUCUGCUCCCCGGCUCCUUCAGCUGUACCCACUCUUUGUUGAGUCUCCCACAAUUACCGUUGUUCCUGGCCCAGACUUCAAUCCGGCCUCCCACGUUAUUCCUGAUACCACACCUGACCCCCAUGACUGUAUCUCUCUGAUCCAUCUGACAUUCACCCCAUUUCCCCAAAUUUCCUUCUUUCCUCUUCCUCACCCUGAUCACGCUUGAUUUAUUGUUGGCGGUUCCACCAGGCCUAAUCACCACACACCAGCAAAGGCAGGUUAUGCUAUAGUACAAGCCACUAGCCUGCCUCUUAGAACCUCUCAUUUCCUUUCCAUCGUGGAAAUCGAUCCUCAAGGAAAUAACUUCUCAGUGUUCCAUCUGCUAUUCUAGUACUCCUCAGGGAUUAUUCAGGCCCCCUUCCUUCCCUACACACCAAGCUCAAGGAUUUGCCCCACCCAGGACUGGCAAAUUAGCUUUACUCAACAUGCCCUGAGUCAGAUAACUAAAAUACCUCUUAGUCUAGGUAGAUACUUUCACUGGAUAGGUAGAGGCCUUUCCUACAGGGUCUGAGAAGGCCACCGCAGUCAUUUCUUCCCUUCUGUCAGACAUAAUUCCUCAGUUUAGCCUUCCCACCUCAAUACAGUCUGAUAACAGACAAGCAUUUAUUAGUCAAAUCAGCCAAGCAGUUUUUCAGGCUCUUAGUAUUCAGUGAAACCUUUAUGUCCCUUAUGGUCCUCUGUCUUCAAGAAAAGUAGAAUGGACUAAAGGUCUUUUAAAAACACACUCAGCCACCAACUUAAAAAGGACUGGACAAUACUUUUACCACUUUCCCUUCUCAGAAUUCAGGCCUGUCCUCGGAAUGCUGCAGGGUACAGCGCAUUUGAGCUCCUGUAUAGACACUCCUUUUUAUUAGGCCCCAGUCUCAUUCCAGACACCAGACCAACUUACACUGUGCCGCAAAAAACUUGUCAUCCCUACUAUCUUCUGUCUAGUCAUACUCCUAUUCACCAUUCUCAACUACUCAUACAUGCCCUGCUCUUGUUUACACUGCCGGUUUACACUGUUUUUCCAUGCCAUCACAGCUGAUAUCUCCUGGUGCUAUCCCCAAACUGCCACUCUUAACUCUUGAAGUAAAUAAAUAAUCUUUGCUGGCAGGACUAUGCUGAAUCUCCUUAGGCACUCUCUAAUCAGAUAUCCUGAGUCGUCCCAAUUCUUAGACCUUUUAUACCUGUUUUUCUCCUUCCUUUAUUCCAUUUAGUUUCUCAAUUCAUCCAAAUCCAUAUCUAGGCCAUCACCAAUCAUUCUAUAUGACAAAUGUUUCUUCUAACAUCCCCACAAUAUCACCCCUUACCACAA
rnacentral:lncRNA from 1 species